UGGCCGCGUAGAGCAGGGGGGUGUUCGGCGCGCCCGUCAUGCCCAGGUCCGGGCAGGCCUCGGACAGCUUCUGGGGAUCGAUGCCCGUCGCGGCCGAC
rnacentral:tRNA from 1 species